rnacentral:rRNA from 1 species
UACAGAGGUGGCAAGCGUUGUUCGGAAUUACUGGGCGUAAAGCGUGCGCAGGCGGUGAUGUAAGACAGAUGUGAAAUCCCCGGGCUCAACCUGGGAACUGCAUUUGUGACUGCAUCGCUGGAGUGCGGCAGAGGGGGAUGGAAUUCCGCGUGUAGCAGUGAAAUGCGUAGAUAUGCGGAGGAACACCGAUGGCGAAGGCAAUCCCCUGGGCCUGCACUGACGCUCAUGCACGAAAGCGUGGGGAGCAAACAGG